UACGUAGGGGGCGAGCGUUGUCCGGAUUUAUUGGGCGUAAAGAGCUCGUAGGUGGUUCGAUAAGUCGGGUGUGAAAACUCUGGGCUUAACUCAGAGACGCCACCCGAUACUGUCGUGACUUGAGUCUGGUAGGGGAGUGUGGAAUUCCCAGUGUAGCGGUGAAAUGCGCAGAUAUUGGGAGGAACACCAGUGGCGAAGGCGGCACUCUGGGCCAGUACUGACACUGAGGAGCGAAAGCGUGGGUAGCGAA
rnacentral:rRNA from 1 species